rnacentral:rRNA from 1 species
CAGCAGCCGCGGUAAUACGGAGGGUGCAAGCGUUAAUCGGAAUUAUUGGGCGUAAAGGGCUCGCAGGCGGUUUCUUAAGUCUGAUGUGAAAGCCCCCGGCUCAACCGGGGAGGGUCAUUGGAAGCUGGGAAACUUGAGUGCAGAAGAGGAGAGUGGAAUUCCACGUGUAGCGGUGAAAUGCGUAGAGAUGUGGAGGAACACCAGUGGCGAAGGCGACUCUCUGGUCUGUAACUGGCGCUGAGGAGCGAAAGCGUGGGGAGCGAACAGGAUUAGAUACCCCUGUAGUCCCUGUCUCUUAUAA